GACGAACGCUGGCGGCGUGCUUAACACAUGCAAGUCGAACGGAAAGGCCCUGCUUUUGUGGGGUGCUCGAGUGGCGAACGGGUGAGUAACACGUGAGUAACCUGCCCUUGACUUUGGGAUAACUUCAGGAAACUGGGGCUAAUACCGGAUAGGAGCUCCUGCUGCAUGGUGGGGGUUGGAAAGUUUCGGCGGUUGGGGCUGGACUCGCGGCUUAUCAGCUUGUUGGUGGGGGAGUGGCUUACCAAGGCUUUGACGGGUAGCCGGCCUGAGAGGGUGACCGGCCACAUUGGGACUGCGAUACGGCCCAGAAUCCUACGGGAGGCAGCAGUGGGGAAUAUUGCACAAUGGGCGGAAGCCUGAUGCAGCAACGCCGCGUGCGGGAUGACGGCCUUCGGGUUGUAAACCGCUUUCGCCUGUGACGAAGCGUGAGUGACGGUAAUGGGUAAAGAAGCACCGGCUAACUACGUG
rnacentral:rRNA from 1 species